CGGACGGGUGAGUAAUGUCUGGGAAACUGCCUGAUGGAGGGGGAUAACUGCUGGAAACGGUAGCUAAUACCGCAUAACGUCGCAAGACCAAAGAGGGGGACCUUCGGGCCUCUUGCCACCGGAUGUGCCCAGAUGGGAUUAGCUAGUAGGUGGGGUAACGGCUCACCUAGGCGACGAUCCCUAGCUGGUCUGAGAGGAUGGCCAGCCACACUGGAACUGAGACACGGUCCAG
rnacentral:rRNA from 1 species